rnacentral:rRNA from 1 species
UCCAGACUCCUACGGGAGGCAGCAGUGGGGGAUAUUGCACAAUGGGGGGAACCCUGAUGCAGCGACGCCGCGUGGGUGAAGGAGCGUUUCGGCGCGUAAAGCCCUAUCGGCAGGGAAGAAGGAGGACGGUACCUGACUAAGAAGCCCCGGCUAACUACGUGCCAGCAGCCGCGGUAAUACGUAGGGGGCAAGCGUUAUCCGGAUUUACUGGGUGUAAAGGGGGCGCAGACGGCAGCGCAAGCCAGGAGUGAAAGCCCGGGGCCCAACCCCGGGACUGCUCUUGGAACUGCGCGGCUGGAGUGCAGGAGGGGCAGGCGGAAUUCCUGGUGUAGCGGUGAAAUGCGUAGAUAUCAGGAGGAACACCGGUGGCGAAGGCGGCCUGCUGGACUGCGACUGACGUUGAGGCCCGAAAGCGUGGGGAGCAAACAGGAUUAGAUACCCCCGUAAUC